rnacentral:lncRNA from 1 species
GGUGACAGCGCUUGCCAGCUCCCGACGGGGGCGGAGGCUGCCGCGGCUCCACCUAGUCCCCGCCCGGGCGCUCGGCCGCGCUCUCCGCCGGCCGCGCUCGGGCCCCGGCGGCCGCCGCCUCCGCUCUGACAUCUUGAAGCGGAUUGGGGCAGCGCGUGCCGGAAGCCGGCCGCCGCCAUCUUGGUAAAGGACGGGGACACCGCCCAGCCGCCCGCCCACCAUCUUGGCAAAGGGUCUGGGUAGCGGGUCGCCGAAGUCGUUGUUCCUCUCCCCGAAGGGUGAACGCUGCUCCGUGCGUUGUCCAAUAUGAAAGGAAAGAACUAGGCUUUUGGCAAGCCGCCUGUCCGGAGCCCGUCUACACGGGCAGCCUCCAGACCGUUUUGGGCCGCCAUCUUGGCAAAGGAAGCGACGCUCCCCGCCGCGGGAAAACGGGAACCAAAGCGUUUGCCAAAGUAGAAGCGUCAGCCAGUAGAGUUUUUAUGAAGGGCGCUCAACAGUCCAGUUGUUAACCAAAGCUCCUUCUGGAUCCAGAAGCGAUGCCUCCUCUUUGCCUUUUCUUUGGAGCAAGUCAACUAGGAGGAGGCCCUUGCCUUGGAUGCUCAUAGUGGACCCUAAGUGAGAAUUUACUCCCAGAACCAUACUUUGCCUACUUGCCAGUUUCUCCACCUUCUGAGUCUUAGUGCUAGAAUCACAUGUCUUUCGUGGGUUCAGUCCCCAAACCACCAAUAGUUUCAGGGGGGAAAAUCAAGACCUAAACCUACAAUAGUAUGUUAUCCAUCUUUUAAAAGUCCAGCAGAUCAUCUUAAAGUGGAGGAAGACACAUCAUUUUAAAUUAAAAGUUGCUAUUGAAAAUACUUUUAAUUGAGUGAAAGUGUGAAAUUUCCCUAAUUUUCCCCUUCUGUGUUCUAAAUAUGCCUGUUAAUUUUUUAAUUUGAUAGAAAAAAAUUCUCAUUCUUUAGUCUUUCACAUUCCUUUGAAAGCAUGCUUUUUCUGUAAUUUAACCCAAU